AGAGUUUGAUCCUGGCUCAGAGCGAACGCUGGCGGCAGGCCUAACACAUGCAAGUCGAGCGCCGUAGCAAUACGGAGCGGCAGACGGGAGAGUAACACGUGGGAACGUGCCCUUCAGUUCGGAACAACCCAGGGAAACUUGGGCUAAUACCGGAUACGUCCGUAAGGAGAAAGAUUUAUCGCUGAAGGAUCGGCCCGCGUCUGAUUAGCUAGUUGGUGAGGUAACGGCUCACCAAGGCGACGAUCAGUAGCUGGUCUGAGAGGAUGAUCAGCCUCACUGGGACUGAGACACGGCCCAGACUCCUACGGGAGGCAGCAGUGGGGAAUAUUGGACAAUGGGCGCAAGCCUGAUCCAGCCAUGCCGCGUGGAUGAUGAAGGCCCUAGGGUUGUAAAGUCCUUUCGGCGGGGAAGAUAAUGACGGUACCCGCAGAAGAAGCCCCGGCUAACUUCGUGCCAGCAGCCGCGGUAAUACGAAGGGGGCUAGCGUUGCUCGGAAUCACUGGGCGUAAAGCGCACGUAGGCGGCUUUUUAAGUCAGGGGUGAAAUCCUGGAGCUCAACUCCAGAACUGCCUUUGAUACUGAGAAGCUUGAGUCCGGGAGAGGUGAGUGGAACUGCGAGUGUAGAGGUGAAAUUCGUAGAUAUUCGCAAGAACACCAGUGGCGAAGGCGGCUCACUGGCCCGGUACUGACGCUGAGAUGCGAAAGCGUGGGGAGCAAGCAGGAUUAGAUACCCUAGUAGUCC
rnacentral:rRNA from 1 species